rnacentral:rRNA from 1 species
GACGAACGCUGGCGGCGUGCUUAACACAUGCAAGUCGAGCGGUAAGGCCCUUUCGGGGGUACACGAGCGGCGAACGGGUGAGUAACGCGUGGGUGACCUGCCCUCAGCUCUGGGAUAAGCCUGGGAAACCGGGUCUAAUACCGGAUAUGACUCCAUGACGCAUGUUGUGGGGUGGAAAGCCUUGUGCGGCUGAGGAUGGGCCCGCGGCCUAUCAGCUUGUUGGUGGGGUGAUGGCCUACCAAGGCGACGACGGGUAGCCGGCCUGAGAGGGCGACCGGCCACACUGGGAUUGAGACACGGCCCAGACUCCUACGGGAGGCAGCAGUGGGGAAUCUUGCGCAAUGGGCGAAAGCCUGACGCAGCGACGCCGCGUGAGGGAUGACGGCCU